rnacentral:rRNA from 1 species
AGUGAACGCUGGCGGUAGGCCUAACACAUGCAAGUCGAACGGCAGCACAGUAAGAGCUUGCUCUUACGGGUGGCGAGUGGCGGACGGGUGAGGAAUACAUCGGGAUCUACUUUUUCGUGGGGGAUAACGUAGGGAAACUUACGCUAAUACCGCAUACGGCCUACGGGUGAAAGCAGGGGAUCUUCGGACCUUGCGCGAUUGAAUGAGCCGAUGUCGGAUUAGCUAGUUGGCGGGGUAAAGGCCCACCAAGGCGACGAUCCGUAGCUGGUCUGAGAGGAUGAUCAGCCACACUGGAACUGAGACACGGUCCAGACUCCUACGGGAGGCAGCAGUGGGGAAUAUUGGACAAUGGGCGCAAGCCUGAUCCAGCCAUACCGCGUGGGUGAAGAAGGCCUUCGGGUUGUAAAGCCCUGUUGUUGUGAAAGAAAAGCAGCAGGUUAAUACCCCGCUGUUCUGACGGUACCGAAAGAAUAAGCACCGGCUAACUUCGUG